rnacentral:rRNA from 1 species
UGGGGAAUAUUGCACAAUGGGCGCAAGCCUGAUGCAGCCAUGCCGCGUGUAUGAAGAAGGCCUUCGGGUUGUAAAGUACUUUCAGCGGGGAGGAAGGGAGUAAAGUUAAUACCUUUGCUCAUUGACGUUACCCGCAGAAGAAGCACCGGCUAACUCCGUGCCAGCAGCCGCGGUAAUACGGAGGGUGCAAGCGUUAAUCGGAAUUACUGGGCGUGAAGCGCACGCAGGCGGUUUGUUAAGUCAGAUGUGAAAUCCCCGGGCUCAACCUGGGAACUGCAUCGGAUACUGGCAAGCUUGAGUCUCGUAGAGGGGGGUAGAAUUCCAGGUGUAGCGGUGAAAUGCGUAGAGAUCUGGAGGAAUACCGGUGGCGAAGGCGGCCCCCUGGACGAAGACUGACGCUCAGGUGCGAAAGCGUGGGGAGCAAACAGG